UACGAAGGGUGCAAGCGUUAAUCGGAAUUACUGGGCGUAAAGGGCUCGUAGGCGGCUGGCUAAGUCGGAUGUGAAAUCCCCAGGCUUAACUUGGGAACUGCAUCCGAUACUGGCUGGCUUGAAUCCGGGAGAGGGAUGCAGAAUUCCAGGUGUAGCGGUGAAAUGCGUAGAUAUCUGGAGGAAUACCGGUGGCGAAGGCGGUAUCCUGGACCGGCAUUGACGCUGAUGAGCGAAAGCAUGGGGAGCGAACAGG
rnacentral:rRNA from 1 species